GACUGACAUGACGCUGAGUGCGAAAGCGUGGUAGCAACAGGAUUAGAUACCCUGGUAGUCCACGCCGUAAACGAUGUCGACUAGCCGUUGGGGUCCUAGAGACCUUUGUGGCGCAGUUAACGCGAUAAGUCGACCGCCUGGGGAGUACGCCGCAAGGUUAAAAUCAAAUGAAUGACGGGGGCCGCACCAGCGGUGGAGCAUGUUGUUUAUUUGAUGCAACGCGAAGAACCUUACCUACCCUUGACAUUGUGCGAACUUGGUAGAGAUACCUUGGUGCCUUUGGGAGCGCACCGACCGGUGCUGCAUGGCCGUUGUCAGCUUGUGUUGUGAAAUGUUGGGUUAAGUCCCGUAACGAGCGCAACCCUUGUCCCUAUUUGCCAGCGAUUCGGUUGGGAACUUUAGGGAGACUGCCGGUGACAAACCGGAGGAAGGUGGGGACGACGUCAAGUCAUCCUGGCCCUUACGGGUAGGGCUACACACGUGGUACAAUGGCCGGUACAAAAGGGUUGCGAAUCCGCGAGGUGGAGCUAAUCCCGAAAAGCCGGUCUCAGUCCGGAUCGGAGUCUGCAACUCGACUCCGUGAAGUCGGAAUCGCUAGUAAUCGUGCAUCAGAAUGGCACGGUGAAUACGUUCCCGGGCCUUGUACACACCGCCCGUCACACCAUGGGAGUGGACUGCACCAGAAGUGGUUAGCCUAACUUCGGAGGGCGAUCACCACGGUG
rnacentral:rRNA from 1 species